CCCUUAGAUGUCCUGGGCCGCACGCGCGCUACACUGAUGCCUUCAACGAGUUUUACCUUGGCCGAGAGGCCUGGGCAAUCUUUUAAACCUGCAUCGUGAUAGGGAUAGAUUAUUGCAAUUAUUAAUCUUGAACGAGGAAUUCCUAGUAAACGCAGAUCAUCAAUCUGCAUUGAUUACGUCCCUGCCCUUUGUACACACCGCCCGUCGCACCUACCGAUUGAAUGGUCCGGUGAAGCCUCGGGAUUGUGGCCAGUUCACUUUAUUGGGAGUUGGCUGCGAGAACUUGUCUAAACCUUAUCAUUUAGAGGAAGGUGAAGUCGUAACA
rnacentral:rRNA from 1 species